AGGGCGGUGGGAAACUACCGCCCAAGGGCCGGAAAGUUGCCCAAACUCGGUCAUCUUAGAGGAAAGUAAAAGUCGUAACCAAGGUCUCCGUUGGUGAACCAGCGGAGCGGAUCAUAGCGAGUCUCAGCGCUCCAAACACUUGCGAACCGCGCCCCGGACGUCGUUGCCUUCGGCGGGCGCCGCGGGAGCCGGGAGGGUUCUCCUCCCGCCCCCCCGGGGAACGCCCGCCGGCGGCGGCAAACUCUUCUAUAAUGUAGUGGCUUUUACUGAGUGGCACUGCAAGCAAGCAGCCAAAACAACUUUCAACAACGGAUCUCUUGGCUCUGGCAUCGAUGAAGAACGCAGCGAAAUGCGAUAAGUAAUGCGAAUUGCAGAUUUCAGUGAGUCAUCGAAUCUUUGAACGCACAUUGCACCCGGCGGCAUUCCGCCGGGUCUGCCUGUUCGAGCGUCGUUUCCACCCCUCGGGCGUCUUCGGGCACCCGGUGUUGGAGGCACCGCAUGCGCCGCACGCCGGCGCUGCGGCCUCCGAAAUACAGUGGCGGGCCCCUCGGCGAACCCCCUGCGCAGUAGUAAACUCCUCGCAUCGGGUGCCGUGUCGGUGCUCUGCCGUCAACUGAGGGGAUGCGCCUGGCGCGCCCCCGGUCUCAGAACGAUGUCGACCUCGGAUCAGGUAGGGUUACCCGCUGAACUUAAGCAUAU
rnacentral:misc_RNA from 1 species